rnacentral:rRNA from 1 species
CCAACCCCUGUGACAUACCACUUGUUGCCUCGGCGGAUCAGCCCGCUCCCGGUAAAACGGGACGGCCCGCCAGAGGACCCCUAAACUCUGUUUCUAUAUGUAACUUCUGAGUAAAACCAUAAAUAAAUCAAAACUUUCAACAACGGAUCUCUUGGUUCUGGCAUCGAUGAAGAACGCAGCAAAAUGCGAUAAGUAAUGUGAAUUGCAGAAUUCAGUGAAUCAUCGAAUCUUUGAACGCACAUUGCGCCCGCCAGUAUUCUGGCGGGCAUGCCUGUUCGAGCGUCAUUUCAACCCUCAAGCACAGCUUGGUGUUGGGACUCGCGUUAAUUCGCGUUCCUCAAAUUGAUUGGCGGUCACGUCGAGCUUCCAUAGCGUAGUAGUAAAACCCUCGUUACUGGUAAUCGUCGCGGCCACGCCGUUAAACCCCAACUUCUGAAUGUUGACCUCGGAUCAGGUAGGAAUACCCGCUGAACUUAA